CGGGAAGGCACGCCAGGCACGGAACGCAAACCUCAUUCGCGAGCCUCAUACAGAGGGCACGUUCACCAUAAAUAUUUAGCACGAUCCUUCGACGCAGCCGCCCUUCCGCUUGUGCCUGGACACAGUUGUGGGGGAUGCAGGCGACCACGAGGAUCCCGGGGAGCCCGGUGCAAAAGAGGCGACGCCUUGGAGAGGAGCUGCUGACAUCUCACUGCCAGGCCUGAGGAGAUGCAGAUAAAAGAAAUAUUCAAGAAAAUACUUCGGUUAUUCAGGAGCUCCAACCUUCUCAGUUUUCUUCAUCAUAGCUAACGGGGAUUCACGCCGAGCUCCACGUGUGUCUGGUUUUCAAGAAGACGAGGCGGCUGAGUGGCUCGGGCGUGCCCUGUCUCCAGCCCUGUCUGCUAUGCUGCUGGCCCCUGACUUCUCGGUCACCUCCGCUCACCCUCGGAUCUGACCAGCAGCUUCGGUACCUGGCGCCUCUCUGGCGAAGUGUGGUGGUCACAGGGCUGUCGGGGCACCAGGCAGGGCAUGAUAUGCACAUACUUCCUCACAUUUUAGGACCGUGAGUGCUACUCUCCCAUAAAUACCUGAACUCGUACAUUGGCUGCUGAUUUAUAAAGGUCCAAAGCAGCCAGAAAGCAGUGCAUGUGGGCACAAAUAUGUUAAAAAUGAG
rnacentral:lncRNA from 1 species